GAAAAGAAACUAACUAGGAUUCCCUCAGUAACGGCGAGUGAAGCGGGACUAGCUCAGGAUGUGAAUCUGCGCUUGAUUGGCGCCGAAUUGUGGUCUGUAGACUUUGACGUUAUCUGCCGGGCCAAGUUCCUUGGAAAAGGACAGCUGAGAGGGUGAGACUCCCGUCCGCCUGGUUGAGUGAGUCAUUUGUCAACGAGUCGAGUUGUUUGGGAUUGCAGCUCUAAUUUGGUGGUAAAUUCCAUCUAAAGCUAAAUAUUGGUGGGAGACCGAUAGCGUACAAGUACCGUGAGGGAAAGAUGCAAAGAACUUUGAAAAGAGAGUUAAAGAGUACCUGAAACUGCUGAAACGGAAGCGAAGGAAACCAGUGUUUGUUUGUUCAUAUUUCCCUGGCCACUUGUGGUUUGGGCGCUGUGAGCUUGCGUGAGUUUGGGUUGGUUGAUCCCUUUGGAAGAGCGCAGUCAGAGUUGAUGUCUGUUGCUAGCACUGGGUUUGACUGAUGCAGACGAAAUGGUUUUCUUUACCCCGUCUUGAAACACGGACCAAGGAGUCUAACAUAUGUGCGAGUACAGGGGUGUCAAACCCCGGUGCGUAAUGAAAGUGACAGUGGUUGGAAUUUUGCACAAUCCGCGGCCUCAAUCCUUCGGGAGAACGGUCUGAGUGUGAGCAUACAUGUUGGGACCCGAAAGAUGGUGAACUAUGCCUGAAUAGGGUGAAGCCAGGGGGAAACUCUGGUGGAGGC
rnacentral:rRNA from 1 species